UGUGUGUGCACUGGUUUCCCUAAUCUCGUGAGCACUUGAGCAUGGAUGCACACCAAUCUCGCGGGCACUUGUGACCUCAUGGGUACCUAAACCCGAGUCCUCAUUAGGACAACCUAUGGAAUGGCUUUACAAUGACCUCAAAUGAAGCCUGAGUGAGAAAUUUCAGAAAGUCCCAUGAGGUGGGAUUUUGAGAGAAAAUGUGUGUGUGUGUGUGGCAGGAGGGGCAAGUUACUGACACCGGUGGCCAAACGGUGGUACUGCAGUGUGUGUGUGUAUCUGUGUCGGUCGAUCGCUGAUGACAUCACAUCAACAAGUGUGCAUACUGGACGGCUUUACGAUUACGACCUGGUGGGGACAUUGCCAUGGUAAACUUUUGUUAGUGUAAAAAGUAAGCCUAGCCUAGCCUACUUUAUUACACAGAUGGUUGGUUCAUGACUUUACAGAAAGCUAGAUAUUAAAUUGAUUUUAAAUUCAUUUAAAAUGAAAAGACAUUUUAUUUAUUUCGUUUUGGAGGGGUGGAAAGCAAGCAAGUAUGAAGGUGACGGUCAACUGUGGUUCGUAGCCUAGCAUGUAAGCUAUCAUGGAUAAUGUGUGAGUCUGCCCCGUCACCCAGCAGUCAUCCCUCCCGAUCGAAGCAUUAGCCUACAUGCCCUCGCACAUCUUAUUUAAGCCCAAAUACAGCCUUUUACCGGUCACAUCCCCCGCACGAAACAUCGCCGCCAUUUUAUCCGACCUGUUCCACACACACAUCUUUUCUAAGUGCCCACCAUGAUACCCCCAUGCCAGGCCAGCCCCCACUAUACUUUAUGUUUUGGCCGCCAUUUCGUCUAAAACGUUCCAUACACCCCUUGUCUGAGUCCUCAGAUGCCCACCUCCCAGACUCUCACGCGCCAAACGUUCCACGCACACCCCCUGCAAGUGCCCACUUUGACCGUGGUGUCACCGGUACCGGCUACCACCUUGCCCCCUCCCAUCUCAACAGUAGACCAGACUGUAGGCGCUGUCGCUGCCGCCAUUUCUUUCACAAUGUACCGAUAAUGUGUUUUUUUACCGCCAUUUUAUCACAUACGUUCGAUGCACCUCUUGCCUGGGUACCCACAUAACCCCGUGCCAGCCCACACCUUCCUAUUAAAGUUCCAUACACACCUUGUGUGGGUACCCACUGACUCCGUACAGGCUAGCCCCCUCCCCCUCCCACCCAGCUAGAGCGUAAAUUCAAGUGAUAAUCCUCCCAGUCAAUCACUCCCUCUGGUCGGCUCAAGUUGAAGUUCGUCGAACGUCCUGGAUUUGCGUUAUAUGCAGCAGCAUCUUUUACCACUGGAAAGUUAAACGGUAAGUAUAUUGCUCAGCGUUUAAACAUCUGCGAAUAACACCAUUCAAUCUGAGUGCAUAUUUUGAAAUAAACGGAUUCAUUGCGCAUAUGCUAAGCACUGUAUUUGACGUCCUGGGAUCAGUGCAUUCGGAAGCCCUUCUCUUUACCAUAUCAGUUUUGAUUUUGUUAAGGCAUUUACAUUAAUUUCUCCAUUAGGGCAGAUGAAACUGUUUGACUAUGGACAAAUCCCGAGAAGAAAAGACAUCGUCCGACGAGACGAAGCAGAGAAUGCUGAGAUUCAAGAAACGUCUCAAAGGUCUAAUAAAUCACCAUGACAUGUGCCAAGCACGCUAUGAAAACAGGAUGUCAAAUGCAAAGGACGGUGCUAAUGCUUUGAAUCAUCCGAAUAUGACAACAACAUUGAAGAAUUCAGGAGCAUCACUCUCUGUAAGUAACAUUCCUAAUGUACAGUUUUUAGCAUACAAUGUGCAUAUUGAUAACAUGGGGUAACUGAGGUGUUCCUGCACAGUCCGCCACCUCCUAGUCCAAUAGCUCAGUGCUACGAUAAUGUGUGAGGCUUCAGGGAGGAGGUUUACUUACAUUCCACGCCACACUCUGCUAGUU